rnacentral:rRNA from 1 species
UACGUAGGGGGCAAGCGUUGUCCGGAUUCAUUGGGCGUAAAGAGCGUGUAGGCGGCCAGGUAGGUCGGUUGUGAAAACUGGAGGCUCAACCUUCAGAGGUCGACCGAAACCAUCUGGCUAGAGUCCGGGAGAGGAGAGUGGAAUUCCUGGUGUAGCGGUGAAAUGCGCAGAUAUCAGGAAGAACACCGAUGGCGAAGGCAGGUCUCUGGGCCACUACUGACGCUGAGAAGCGAAAGCGUGGGGAGCGAACAGG